AACGCGAAGAACCUUACCCAGGCUCGAAAUGUAACGGACAACUUCAGAGAUGAAGCGUUCCGCAAGGACCGUUAUAUAGGUGCUGCAUGGCUGUCGUCAGCUCGUGCCGUGAGGUGUUUGGUUAAGUCCAGCAACGAGCGCAACCCUUAUCAUUAGUUGCCAACACGUAAGGUGGGGACUCUAAUGAGACUGCCUAGGUUAACUAGGAGGAAGGUGAGGAUGACGUCAAGUCCGCAUGGCCUUUAUGUCUGGGGCUACACACGUGCUACAAUGGUCGGUACAGAAGGCAGCAAAGUCGCAAGAUGGAGCAAAUCCGUAAAGCCGAUCUCAGUUCAGAUUGUGGUCUGCAACUCGACCACAUGAAGUUGGAAUUGCUAGUAAUGACGUGUCAGCAACAACGUCGUGAAUACGUUCCCGGGCCUUGUACACACCGGAGUA
rnacentral:rRNA from 1 species